UACGGAGGGAGCUAGCGUUGUUCGGAAAUACUGGGCGUAAAGCGCACGUAGGCGGCGCGGCAAGUCAGGGGUGAAAUCCCGGGGCUCAACCCCGGAACUGCCCUUGAAACUGCAGUGCUAGAAUCUUGGAGAGGCGAGUGGAGUUCCGAGUGUAGAGGUGAAAUUCGUAGAUAUUCGGAAGAACACCAGUGGCGAAGGCGACUCGCUGGACAAGUAUUGACGCUGAGGUGCGAAAGCGUGGGGAGCAAACGGGG
rnacentral:rRNA from 1 species